UUAGCCCAGCACGGCGGGCUCAGGCAAAUGAAUAGCCGCAGGUGGGGGGUGCUGCCUUUCACCCCCAUACGUAGGAUCUCGACUUUGGGAAGGUGCGGCCCACGGUGGCAGCCGCAGCAGCAGAGGCAGGGCUGGCACAGCUGAAGAGGAGGAGCUGGAAGCUGGGUCUUGCCUGCCCAGCCUCUUAGAGGCCAGGCCUCCAGCUGGGCCCUAAUUCGCAAGGCUGCUGCCAGCACUCAUUCAUAAAUGAUGAAAAAGCUCUCAGCAAAUGCCGAGCCAUGCAUCAGGCCCCAAGGCCCCUGCUGGGGACCUGAGCACUGAGCAGACUGAGUCCCCAAGCGGCACUCCCGGACUGAUCCAUCUGGUGCAUUCAUCCACCCAGCAGACAUUCGCUUAGGCCACGGACUUGGAUGCUCUGGAAUCGUGAGUGGAGGCCGCUGUCCCUGACCUCUAGGAACCAUAAGCAGAAAUCCGGUGAUAUGGCACGGUACCCAAGUCUAGGCUCUGACUCGGAACUCGGAGAGCAGAGAGAAGAAGUGUCACCAUAGCUAGGGAUGGAGGUCACCUGUAAGUUACAUUCUGAUGCAUGCUUGGAAUGGGUGGGCAAUUGCUCCCCUGAAAGAGUUCAUUCCAGCAGGCAAGAUGGCAGUAUGGCUGAAAAGUAGACAAGGAUUUCAAACCACAAUUCUACUUUGAAAUGGGAAAGCAAGCUCAGCCUUUGGGCCUGUUACUUCCUUUAGAUCUUUUGCUUCCAUGUCCUGCGUACUUGGAUAUCAUGCCGGGAGAUUUACAUAGCCUCUGGCCAUCAUCUGCUAGAGACCUUGGACAUAGUGCCCUGAGACGAACAUGGUCUCUUGCCAUCAGCUAGAGUUGACUUAGUUGAUUACUAGCAAGAACACUAGGUGUAUAAUUGGCAGUUGACAGUUUGUAUCCUGGGCUCAUUGUUGGGGAAUGAGUGGGGGGAAUUAUUUCUUCUCUGGAUGGGUUUUCACCAGGAAGGGGAAGCCUCUCCAGGCUGGGAUCCUUACCCAUGUGAUCAGGGGACACUGAGAGUCCAACAGCAGCUUCUCCUGAGGGUCUGAACCAAUAUAAUAGACAAACACAGAAUCACACAGAAGCAAAGCUGGUAUCCUACGCCCCUGGAUUCAGCAGCAGGAAGCGGCCAGGAGAGAGGGUCACCUCCUCUGGGCUCUGGAUUCUGAGAAGAGGAAUGCCAUUCCAUCACAUGGGAACAAGUGCUUCUAGACUGGGAAUCUCAACUCAUCUUCUCUUUCUCCAAGCAAAGCUACCGUGGUUCCCAACAUUGGGAGAAGCAGAGGGAUGUUGAAAAUUAUAUGAUUUUUUUUUUAGGUGAAUCCCACCCAAAACCAGACUGAAAUCUCACAGGCUUUCAGGUCCCGGGACCUGGUGUCUUUUGGGUCGAGCCGAUGUUUGGUAAGAUCUGUUUGCACAGGGGAGAGGGGAAGCCAUCAUCACUGAGCACCUAGCAACUGCCUGGGUUUGUGGUUGAGCUGAUCUAAUCCUCACAAUAGCCCUUUAAGUCAGUGUUAUCACCUUCCCUUUAUAAAGCCGGAUACUCAGAUUUAAGGAGUGCUGAGGCAAAUUCCCCAAGAUCAUGCUCCUAAUCAGGAACAAAGGCAAAAGUCAAAGUCAAGUGCACCUGACUGGAAGUCAUCCUUUGUAAUAAAACCCCUCCGUCUGUGGCAGGCAAAUCCUAAGGAGGCCCCGAGAUAUCUCUGGGAGGGUAGGUGGAGUCUGGGAAUGUGCUGAUGGGAUCAUCUGAUAGAGACUGCCUGUGCAGGCUGGAGAAGCAGCAGCCAUGGAUAUAUGUCCCCUCAGCUCCCAGCCUGGAAGCAAGGAAAGGGCUCUGCUUUUGUGAACUGUCAGUGGGGUCACAGGGCAAGCCACCAUGGGCAGCUUCAAGGCUCCUGGCUAAUGGAGAGUGGGUUGGCAGGCCUCCAACAGACAACCACAACUGACUCUUUUCUGUCAGCAACCAGAGGACAGAAUGUAUCCCAUCCCACACCUCAUCUGUAUGCUCGGGACACUUGAGCAGAGGGCCUACAGAACAUGUCCCCAUUCCCAAGCCAAGGUAACAGGGAGUCCAUGUCUGAGCUCUUUGAAGCCACUGAGAUUUUCGUGAUGAGUUGUAGAAGUAUUUUUUUUAAAAAAAAACUGAAUAUAUGCCUCACAGAAAGAGUUCAUCUUGCCUUUGGGAGCUCAAAGCAGCCUUGAAAGGAGCUGUAGUCCCAGGGAGAAGGUCAUGUCACCUUUGGGAAACUGUUUCCUCUAAGACUAAGUUGAGGCUAAGUGACAACUGAAAUGGGCCCCUGGUUAAGAUUUAUAUCACAGGGUUGGCUGUGGGGAGCAAUGGAUGGAUCAUAGUAAUGUGCAUUCUUAGACUCCACAGUGAACUGUGUGUGUGCAUGCGUGUGCGUGUGUGUGUGUGUGUGUGUGUGUGUGUGUGUGUGUGUGUGCGCGCGCGUCCAUGUCCAUGUGUGUACGAGCACCCUCAUAUAUACAGGCCCAGGAGCAAUGCUGGGCGUUGUUCAAUUGCUGUCCACUUACUUCAUUUUGGAGACAGGGUCUCUUACUAGCUUAGAACCCCCCAAGUAGACUAACCCCAGGAUCCACCUGCCUUCACUCCUCACCCUGGGGUUAUAAGCACGAGUCACUAUGCCUGGCUGUUAGUUUUGCUUCUUUUUUAUUUAUUUAUUUCAAAAAGAUGGGUUCUGGGGAUUGAACUCAGGUCCUUGUGCAUUCAAGACAAGUAUUUUCUGGGCUAUCCCCCUAGGCCUUCCACAGUGAAUUACCAAGGCUCAGUGGUAAACCAGACUGUGCAUGCUGUAUUCUCUUAGAGAGCAAUACACAGCGGUGUUCAGGAGUCUGCUGGUUCUGGCAGUCGAAUGUGAAGCUGAAUUCAUCUUGAGUUCACUUCCUGGGGGCUGCUAGCAUGAAGUCCCACACCCUGGGAGGGUGGCUUCAAACAGCUGGCUUUACUCUCUCUUGUACCUGGGAACCUUCAGGUAUGGACUGGGCCAUGCUCUCUGGUUCCAAGAGAGAGCCUGGCCUAUGCCCUCUCCUCUUCCUCUCUCCCCUGUUCUCAUAGGCACCCAGGAUAUUGGAUUCUGGCCACCUUAGCAGAGCACGACCUUAACUUGGUAACAUUUGGUUCUAAAGACCUUCUCUGGUUCUCUAUCAUUACGGGGGACAAUACAGUCUACAACCCACCCCCCAAAUCUACAUAUGAUGUGACUAAAAGGCAUUGGGAACGCCCUCUUCCCACCUACCCCUCCUGCCCCUUUCAGACGAUAUUAUUUUAGAUACCUCUGCCAAUAUUUUCUGGAACUUUCUGGCCCCUGAUGUCUCAUAUUCCUCACUGGCUUCUGGAGCACAAUGGAUACCAGGAGACACAGGGAAAACGAAUGAUCAAGGGAAAUGGAGCAGGUGAGGUGGGGCAGAGGUGUGAGUGUGUGGGGAGACAGGGUGACAGCUACGGCAGGUAACACCGUUGGUGCCCAGGUUAGAUUUCUAAGCAAAAUAAAGAAAGCUGUCUUAUAGGUUCAAAGAAAACACUGGCACUGUAGAUAAGCAGGGACCCCUCCUCUUCCCCACCUCCUCUGGCUUCUCUCUCGUGAGCGUCUGGUGUGGAGGAGGAAGAUUCUUCUGCAGGGUGCCUCACACAACCAGAAUGGCCAGGUCACCACGGGGUAACCUGAGAGGACGAAGCAGAGUCUCGACACCCACGCCCCAGCCUGGGGUGUUCCGUUACCCGACCUGAGUGUGGGUAACAGGAUCCAGGCAAACAAGAGCUUCAGGUACCAAUUGAGGGUCUCCUGUGCUCCCCGGUGAGCACAAACAGGGAGUCAUCUAGCCAGGUUGGGGACUGUCAGGAUAUGCAGUGUCAUGUGUUACAAAAAGGAUGUGCAGGUGUGAGAUGUCUGUGCGUGUGUGCAUACUGCAAUCGCUUUCCGCCCUGGGAGGACCUAGGUGGUCCGCACACACCGGGACCUUGUGUGAUCUGAGUCAUGCCACCACACAUGAACUGGCACCAAGACCAACAGGAAACACUGCUCACCCAUCACCUGUCUACAGAGAUUCCUUGCACUCCAAGGAACCAUACUUCCCAGCUUCCCUUGCCUCUGGUUCCUCAGCAGGCUUGGCCAAAGGGAAGCUCUAUCUGGUGUUUAUAACAGGAGCCAGCCAUCGGUCCUUAGUUAUAGCAACACUGGCUGCAGGGUGCAGGAGGCUCUACUCCGACCUCCCUGCCUGGCAUCACGGUUUUGAAGUUACCUAUAGAGUAGCCUGGGUCAUUAUUGUGCUUUGGCUUCUCCAGGGACCAGAACCAGGGUGCUGACAGACAGAGGUCUCCAGUCAGUAGAGACCAUGCUGCUUCAAGCAGCACUGUGGGGAGGAGGCGUGAGCAGGGUAGGGAGGAGCACCAGUUCCUCCUGGAAGUGGAGUAGGCAAGGCUUCUGAGAAGCGCCAGACCUUCCCAUGUUUCAGCUGUGGGCUCCUGCAGGGAGCUACUACCUCAUGUCCUUCUGUCACUGACCCAGAGUCAUCCAUCACUCUCAUCCUGGAUCUAGAGGGCAACAACCUUCCUGGACUGUGGCUAGAGAGACAACUCUGGAACCGGACUCCUUAGGUUCAAAUCCCGACCUUAGCCCUGUCUAUGAAAUGAAGACAAAGUUUUAAGAAAUUAGUUAAGGCAUGGGAGCCUUGUACAGUCCAGUCCAACUAGAGUGGGGCGGUCGAGCCUGCUUGCCCCUGCACAUGGCCUCACUAUGACACACCGUCCACUCUGUCGCCCACAGUGUGUUCCCCUAAAUUCCCGCAUCUAGUCUAUUUCCAAGAUGAAAAACAGACCGAAUGCAUGCUUCCUCCCUCACCCUCCUCGGAUCCCAUUGUGCCUACUCUGAAUUCUUCUCACGUGUUCCUAACAAUGUCCUGCCCUUGUGCCUUGUUCCUCCCAUUCCUCAUUGCCCGGAGGCUGUGAGCACUCAGCCUCACGAUGUUUCACCCAGCACCUUUCAGCUGGGAGGGCAGGCAUAGGCUCCUCACAGGCGAGGACAGGGUCGUUAGCUUCGUCCUCUGCCUCCUCCAGUGCUCCUGCACCCAGCCUGCUGUCUGCUCAUUUCUAAGGCAAUCCAUGGCUCCUCUUCACACCUACCCAGAGACUCCUCAAUGCCCAGGGUUGAAGUUGGCUGCGAUGCCUAGAGCGUCCUCCCUCCGUGCCUCCGCACCCACCUUCUGUCCUGAGCCCUCUUUUUCCUGUCCUCCCUCACCACCCGACAAACUCAUGGUUAACUCCCCAGCCUAGCUCACACAGGUGUCCACAAUUCCUCAGAGGCCUCCCCUCUCGCUGAAGCUCCUGUGUGCACAGGGCCGCAUGUUUGUGUAUAAAACGGCUGUGUGUAAAACCGUGAUGGCUGCCUGUCUGUCUGUCUCUCUCUCUCCACACUGGAUGCUCAGACUCUUUGAGGAACAGGCCAGCAUUUUAGGAGUCACAGAGAACUCCAUUAAGAGUCAGCAGAUGAACAAGGAGUGCGCACUGUGUGAAUGAAUGAAGACGGGCUAUCUCUGUGUGGCCCUUUCUCCCGCCUGAGGGAAUCCUGCCCAUUCUGUAAAGGGACAGAGGCAGGACCACUUCCUCCGAGAAGCCCUUCCUGAUUUCUCCCCAGGCAGACAGAGACUAAGUCAUUCCAGACUUGAGACAUAAGGCAUUUCUCCUGACCGAGGGUUCCAGCAUAUCCUCCUUCACUUAGGAGCCCCUCAAGGGCAGGCUUCAUGCUAAGCCUGCUAGAGUGGCUGGAAGGGUCCUGUUGGAACUCAGGUUAAGGCAUGCCUGGGUUAAUCCAAGUCCAAUUCUCCUCCUGCCGUGUUACCUUGUGAGGCUGACAGGACCUCAUGGAGUUUAUGAGGAUAACGUGAGAGCAACAGGUUCCAAGGCCUGAACCUGGGGAGGGCCAUGUCAUUCUAGACAGCUCUACACCACAGAAUUUGCUGACAAAGUCCCUUUUCUUCCAGCAUCCCCAAAAGGCACUUGUGAAACAACUACUGAAUGAGUGAAUGAGUGAAUGAAUGAAUGAAUGAAUGAAUGAGUGAAUGAAUGAACGCACAAAUCCGUGAGUCCCCAGAACUUAGCAAGGGCUAGGUACCUGCGUCUCCAACGAGCUGAGUAUAUCAGAUUCAAACAACAACAAUCAGAAGCCCUAAGUUAGGAAUUGUUGGGGGGCAUCUGAGGGUUGGAGCAGGCCACCUGGGGCGCCUUUGUUAACUCCACAUUCUAUUUUCCUUGUGGGUAACUUUUCUUGAAGCUAACACACAGAGCACACUCCUGAGAGAGGAGUUAGAUGGGCAAGCUUCCUCACCCUUGUAACAACCACGCAGGUGAUGACGGAACAUGUCCCCUGCCUGGCAGGCUCCCUUUGUCUCCCGUCCAUCAGUGCCCCCAGAGAAGCCAUUUUGCUAGCCAUUUUGCCUAGACAGUCUUGCCGCUGUUCAACAUGAUCUGAGCGGAAGCCUGCAGGAUGAUCACAGUUUUCCCACCUGUUGUGUGCUAGCUAGCCAGGAGUCAGUAGGUGAGUGCCGUCGUUGGGAUCUGGGUGUGGACUUGGGGUGGCAUCCCCUGUGAGACCUUCCCUGGAGGUUUGAUGUGUGUGGGGAGUGUCUUCUCAGAGAGCUGUCUUAGCAGACUGCCCCCUGUCUCACUGAAAGCACAUCAUCCUCAGAGCUGCCCUGUCUUACAGUAGCCUCCAUCCUCUGAGUCACAUCUGAACCCAGCAUCGUUGGUCACAGAGCUCUACCCUCCUCCCCGUCUCCCUCUUCCUCCUCCUCUUCCUCCUCCUCCAUGAAGCCUUCCAUGCUCACCUGGCCCACAGCCAGUGUGUAACAACCCCUGGGAUGCCCCUGCUGGGUGGGCCCUGCUUGCACACCACACCCAGCCUCUCCCUGUAGCAUUAAUUGCUUGCAUGGUGACCCGCCCCCACCUCCUGGGGGGGUGUCACUGUAGGUUCUCUGGGAUAUUCACAGGGCGCAGAGACAAUUUGAUCCCCCUCUCUUUAUUACUGUGUAGCAUUGCAUGGUAGCUUUUAGCAUGGGGCUGAGAAAGAAUUCAGACCAGGCUUCGGAGUCAGAGACCUGGCUGUCAGAACCCACUGUGUCUUGGGCAGUCAUAGGGCAUGCCACUGUGGAAUGCCUGUGUGUUAGUAGCAGUAGGCCAUAGCCAGUACUGUAACUGAAUGGUAGCUGGGGUAAAGGAGGAAACCCUGAGGCAACUGAUUGUUAUUAGAGCCCCAAAUUCACUAGGCUGCUGCCUUUGCAGCCUUAAGCAAGUGUCUGGACUUCCCGUUCCCUCGGUUUCUCCAUCUAUGGGAAGUAGCAAUUGUUGCUGCCUCGGAGGGAGGCUGAGGAUUAAGCAGGCUAAUGUCUAUUAAUGUGUAUAAACCACUCAAGGCAGCUGCUGGCGCACAGGAAGGACCAUUGCAACUACUAGCUCUCCUUCUGUCCACAAUCCACCUGAUUACCUGGUAGUUAAUUCAAUAAUUAAUUAAACACCGUUAAAUCCUGGCUGUUAAGAGGAGGGACGGGAUAACGAAAGGGAAGCACACGGAGCAGGAGAUAAUAGAUACUGUGCUUGGUCCGCAGAGAGCACUUGAGAGCCGUUGUAAUUAUGAUAAAGAGAAAGGUGAUCAGCAGGGGGCGGGGCAGAUGAGCUGCCCGUGUUGGAGGAGAAAGCACACACCGUGGGGACUGGAUGGGGCUAGCCUGGGCUUCUCCCUGCUUGCUCCACUUCUAAAAGGGAAGAAGGUCUCCUGAAGGUCUGGACCCAUCUUGUCAGUGCCUGGAACCAACUAAUAUUUUAUAACGUGUUGAUUUUAAGCCAGAUAUGGGCAAGCAACAUAUGCAUAUAUACACAUGUGUGUAUAUGUAUAUGAAAUAUACAACCAUAUAUGAAAUAUAUAUGCAAGCAUCUAUAAUCUAUAAUGCAGCCACAUAUAAUAUAUAUAUAUAUAUAAUGCAAAACCAAAACUCCAGGUAAACCUCCUUUCCGUUCCUCUAGGGGUGGGCAGACUCAGGAGAAGUAAGCACUUCCAAGAAUCUGAAGGGCCUUGAAGGGUCACAGAUGAGGGUUUUGUUUUCAGGUUCCAGGAAACAUCGAAGAAGAAAAAAAGAAGUGACGUCACUGCUGGAGGGCUGGCCAUUCUGAUCCGACUCGAGAAUAACUUUUCCGGGUCAAGAGCUCGAACGAGAGCUGGGGAGCGCUGGGCUCUCACAGCACUGCACCUGCUGCUGUGUUCACCUUUGUCCUAAUGGAGACCCCUGCGAACGGGAAGCAGCGUGGUGGCCCGGCCAUCAGGAUGGGCAAGGAGCUUAGACAUCUGCAGUAAGUGGCAUUUAAAGGGUCAAGUGACUGUGACUCGAAGAGAAAGAGGUCAUGUUGUCACCAGCAUGACAGGACACCUGGGAAGCUGCCUUUCCUGCCAGGCACCCGCUAUGCAGAUUUUCCCAAACUUUACACAAAUGGAAUUAGUGCUGGGAAAUUAUUUUUGGAGAGAGUACCCUUUGUCUAAACGAGUUUGAAGAUCUGUGGAACAAUGAAGCAGUUUAAACUUGUCACAGGGGAAGAAUGCCAGGGGCUAGGGGCACGCAACAGACCAAAGCUGCUUCUGUCUAACUGGCACUAGAUUUCCGUUUUUAUGAAACGUGGUCAGCCUGGCUGCCCUCUUGGGAGUCUCUCAGGAUCCCAGGGCCCUCUCUGGGGUACUCAGCUUUACCUACGUGAUAGAAGUUCCUAAGAGCCCACACCCACAUUCCGUUUCCCCCUCAAUUACUUUGUGGCACUUUUUACUGGAGGAGAUAGCUCUCUAGGAUGAAAACCCAGUCCGUAAACUGCAACGUAUGGGAAACAAAAGAUCCAGCUACAGGCAGCUCUUGAAAGCUUUGAUCCAGGAAUCAAUUUGGUUACAAGUCAGGGGUGGCCAGUCCUUAAACCCUGGCCAGAAGCCAUGGGCGUGGUGCCCAGAUACAUUUAAGAAUAAAGAGUUGAAACACGGGACUGGAGAGGUGGCUCAGUGGUUAAGAGCACUGACUGCCCUUCCAGAGGUCCGGAGUUCAAAUCCCAGCAACCACAUGAUGGCUCACAACCAUCUGUAAUGAGAUCCGAUGCCCUGCUCUGGUGUGUCAGAAGACAGCGACAGUGUACUCACAUACAUUAAAUAAAUAAAUUAAAAAAAAAAAAA